GGGGUUAAGGGGGGGGUAGGCGGGAUUUCAAAUUAAGAAGUGAAAAAUUACGGGGUCAACUUCGUACCCCGCUUUUGAAACAGGCAAUUCUGGAGGGAAGAAGAGGCAAAGCGGGAAUUCCUAGUGUAGCGGUGGAAAUGGGUAGAUAUUAGGAGGAAACACCAGGGGCGAAGGCGGCUUGCUGGGCUUUUACUGACGCUGAGGCUCGAAAGCGUGGGGAGCAAAACAGGAUUAGAUACCCUGGUAGUCCACGCCGUAAACGAUGAUUACUAGGUGUGGGGGGAUUGACCCCUUCCGUGCCGGAGUAAACACAAUAAGUAAUCCACCUGGGGAGUACGACCGCAAGGUUGAAACUCAAAGGAAUUGACGGGGGCCCGCACAAGCAGUGGAGUAUGUGGUUUAAUUCGACGCAACGCGAAGAACCUUACCAGGUCUUGACAUCGAGUGACAGUCUAAGAGAUUAGACCUUCCCUUCGGGGACACAAAGACAGGUGGUGCAUGGUUGUCGUCAGCUCGUGUCGUGAGAUGUUGGGUUAAGUCCCGCAACGAGCGCAACCCUUAUCAUUAGUUGCUACGCAAGAGCACUCUAAUGAGACUGCCGUUGACAAAACGGAGGAAGGUGGGGAUGACGUCAAAUCAUCAUGCCCUUUAUGACCUGGGCUACACACGUACUACAAUGGCGUUUAACAAAGAGAAGCAAAGCCGCGAGGCAGAGCAAAUCUCCAAAAAACGUCUCAGUUCGGAUUGUAGGCUGCAACUCGCCUACAUGAAGUCGGAAUUGCUAGUAAUCGUAGGUCAGCAUACUACGGUGAAUACGUUCCCGGGCCUUGCACUCACCGCCCGUCAA
rnacentral:rRNA from 1 species